rnacentral:sRNA from 1 species
GAGCAGCCCGGCGUGCCCAUUCCAGCGCCCCCGUCCCCGCAGCAUGCCGCGCCCCCGCCUGCUGGCCGCGCUGUGCGGCGCGCUGCUCUGCGCCCCCAGCCUCCUCGUCGCCCUGGUGGGAUUUCUGCAUUUCAGCCAGAGGGACCUGUCUGCAGCUACCAGAUGCUCCCCACCCUGGGGGAGCUCAGCGGCAUGUCUGCACAUGGGCCUUUUCAGCCUUCUUCAUCCUGCAAUUGGAACUGACUAUUUUAUUUUUAUUUUUUCUCCCCCCUGGUGGACAGUGGUGAGGAGGGUGAAGGAAGGUUAAAAGCCACUGCUCUACAGGAUGAAAAACUAAACUUGUCAUUCUUCAGAUCCCUCCCAGUCUGGCCCCAGCCUACCC